ensembl:lncRNA
CGGUUAUUGCACUAGACAAGAUGAUAUCUUUUUCACGAAUGAAUGAGUGUGUGUGCAGUGUCUCUAUUUAUCCAGUUGGAGGCAGAACACGUCUGCUGUUCAGCUCCUUCAGCACCUUUUUAUUGUCACACCCACAGCCUGAAGAUUUCACACAUAAAUAUGCAUGACAAGACCACAGCACCGCAAGACAGCCUCAUGGUCUCAGAACAAGAGCAGAUAUUUCUCUGUCUUCUGUAGUGUAAGAAGUUAAUGCAUGAAGAGAAUGAGCAGACUAGAGGAAGCGAAGGGCCGAAUCACAGUGGUGGUGAAGGUUUAAAUGGUGGAUCUACUCUGAGAUGAAGAUUCAUAAAUACACAGUCAUCGUCAUCAUCUUUAGCCUUUUCUGUCCUAUCACAGUUCCUCCGGCUCUUAAUAAAGUGCAGAUCGUGAUUAUCAUCUCAUCACUCGGAAGUUUGCUUCUGCUUGGCGGUGUGAUAGUCAUCGUUUUAAAAUGCAGAAGGAAACGUCGGACUCAGGAGGAACCCAUUUACAGCAACAUAUAUUACAACACGAGGACAUGCAGAAAAAAGGUCACAGGUGACCAGAAGCAAACGAAAUCAUGAAAUUCAAUAAUUUUUCUUUAUACGUCUUUAUGACACUUAAAUGUUCAUAGCAUCUUGUAGGUUUGCAUGCAAGACCCGACCUGAAACAGAAACGUGUGCAUCUGUGGUUUUGGAGGCGGUUAUUUUAAGGGUCUGGUUCGUCUUUUGCAGUUGUCAGGAAAUUGUUUUACUUGCAUGUCUGCUGGGCACUGCAAACACAGCCCUCUUUUGUUCUCUUUUAUAUAUGUUGUAUCUACAAGAUGACUGUAUACUGGAUACUUUAAGACUUUCCAAAUGACUUUUUGUAAAGCAAAGACAAUCACACUUUAGAAUAGUAUGUACUUGUGGAUGUCUGUCUAUACUGUGAAAGAAAUAUGAAUCUUAUCUGUCUGAACUUAACCUAAUUUAGAGACUUUAAGGGUUCUUCAGGUGUCCCUCUGUGGGAAAGACAAAUACUGUAGAACCCUGCUUUGGAAGCACCCUAAAUUAUCCAAUGAACCUUUAAAGAACCCUUUGUUUUGUUUUUAAGAGUGUAUGUAGUAACUGUGUAAGUAUGUGGCGCAAAAUUCCAAAUCAUUGCUCUGUUUUUUGUUUGUUCUCAAAAAAAAAAAAAGGCCUAGAAAUGCCUUUUUAUUUUUAUUUUUUAAUUUUUUUGGAAGCUACAGUAGGAAACCUUAAUUAUCCAUUGAACCCUUAAAGAACCCUGAAGAAUCUAGAAGAAAACUGACUGAAUACUAAACCCCUGACUGGAUUGGUGCAUUAAGUAGAAAAUAAUAUAGCACAAUGUGGAGUUUGUACCACAAUCUUACCUCGUUAUUACAUACAGUACACGCGCUCUGAGAAACAAAGGGUUCCUCGGGGGUUCUUUCAGGGUUUAAUGGAAAAUUAAGGGCUCUGUUUUCUUCUUUUGUUUUGUUUUUUGUUUUUUUUUAGAUGUUAGUGAGUUUGUAAAGUGAAACUCACACAUUAGUGCGAGUUGUACUUCUGUAGCACUCACGCUACACUGAUGUGUUCAAAACAAAUAGAAUUGUGCCUGUAAGAGAAUAAGAUAAACACUGGAUUUAUGACUGAAGCGUAAAAUCCAAAAAGUCCAUGUAAAUUUACAACAAUGAAUUGUUUAUUCUGUCAUUUUUGACAAAUGAAAACUUUUUUUUUUGUGGCAGAUCGCAUGCUUUAGAAAAUGUAGGUGUUUUGUAAACGUUUUCAUUUUAAUAUGUAAUAGUUCAUUUUAACAUAGGGUUAGGGUUAGGGUUAGGUUUAGGGUCUAACACUAACCCUAACCCAGCACGUCUGUAUUACAUAGGAAAAAAACACACUCACUAUGUACGUGAGGUAAAACAUCACCUCAUUAUAGCGUCAUGUAUGAUUGCACACCCCUAUAUUUUGCUUGCCUGGAAACCUAAUUUUUUUAUCGAAUCAUUUAAGGAUCGCUAGUUAAGUGCAUUAAUACAGAGUAAAGAAAUAAAUGUUGUGUUCAAAACAAACGUACAGUUUUAUGCAAAAGUUUGGGCACUCCUGGGCAAAUUCAGUAAUUGAGGCAUGUCGCAAAAGUUCCGCUUGUAAGGUCUCAGAACUUGAGCUUGUUAGGCCUUAAUUAUCUGAUUGGGAUUAACUGUUAGCCAGGUCGAGACUUGUCAUUAGUAAUAACAAUUCCGUCGUCAUAACUCUUCAAACUACCCCGGGCUCCUCUAAGCAGCUGACUGAGCACCUGAAAAUCAAGCUAUUUUAGUUGAAGCCUACAAAACGGAGGAAGGCUAUAAAAUGUUUCUAGCUGAAAUGUCAUUAAUAAAUGGCGGUUAAGAAGAACUUUCGAAGUCAAAGUAAGAGUUGGAAGACUAAAAAAAAAUUCAAAUAAAACUCAGAUAAAACUGCCAAUAUGCAAAUCCUCCAAUGGCAAUAAAGACUUGCACGAAGGUUUAUCUGACCCAGGAGUGGUAGUGCACAUUUCUACUCAGAUCGUAUUUUGCAGUUGUGGUAGCAAAAUAUGAUCUGAAUGGAAGAGUUUUCAGAAUGAAACCUUGCCUCUGAUCUCAUCACAAAUAUCAAUCUCGGAGGUAUGCAGAAAAGAAAGCCCAAUGCAUUUUGGAAACAAGUCCUAUAGACUGAUGAAGUAAAAAUAGAAGUAUUUGGCCACAGUGACUAAAACGGUGGAUCGGUUAUGCUUAGGGGUUGUGUGGCAGCCAGCGGAAUAGGAAACAUUGCACAAGUAGAAGGAAGAAUGGAUUCCAGUAAAUUCCAGCUAAUUCUGGAAUGAAAUGUGACACAAUCAGUAAUGUCACUGAAUCUGAAAAGAGACUGACUUCUAUAACAGGACAAAACAUGCUUCAAAAUCCACCAUUUCAGACAAAAGGAAGACUUUUAACCUGUAAACAGGAUAUAGCAGACCACCUGUCUUAGAAAGUGUAGUGUAGGUGUUAUAAAAACAUAAAAGUGUGUCUGCACUCAUAAAUAGCUUCUCCACCCACAAUGACUGGUAACACACACACACACACACACACACACACACACACACACACACACAGGCAGGCCUCCUCUAACUGUGUGACCAAAAACCACCAAGUGCACAAGGUUCAAUAAGAGACCAGUGUUUACACUGGAUUAUGCAAGAUCUUUCCAACCUUCUUGGCUAAAUAAAGAGUUUUUAUUAAUAUGCCACUGAAUCUAAGCAAAAAGUUUGUUGUGCAUAAAAAUUGCAUGAAAUAAACACGAGGGAGACCAAGUAUGAUUAACAUGUAAGUUUAUUGAGGUUCACAGACUAAGUAUGAACAGCAUGUAAUUUUAUUGAGAAUUCACAGGGCAGGUGGGAGUGUAAUCCUGAGGGGAGCGGUAGGAAGAAAACGGG